rnacentral:lncRNA from 12 species
CUCCUCUCCCAAAUAAAAAAUCACCUGCUGCAAAAAUAUCCCUUUGCUCCAAGCUCUAUGGAGUUUGCCAUCAGCUCAUACCACAGUGAUGUCUUCCAUAGAUACUCUAUCAGAUAGGUCAUUGGAGGCAGUGAGGGAAAUAUACUCUGCUCUAAGAUCUUCCCAUCUUGUGAUUCCCACAGGUCCUCAGAGAUCUCUGGAUUCAGACAGCUCUCUUUGUUGUUCUGCUCGCCAGUCUUGUGAACAGGGGAUGCCAUGUUUUUCUGUGAAAGAAAAUGCCUCACAGAGUAACCCCAUCCUGCUUGAAACAUUGAACAACUUUUACUUUUAUGUGCUGGAAAGAAAAAAAAAUGCUGCUCAACAUGUUCUUCUUCCUGAGUUCGUUCUAAUUUAACAGGAGAAAGGGAAAGGGUGCUUGGCACUCAAAAAGCUCAAAUGAUCCUGAAAAAAUGUAAAAUUUAUGGAAAUUUCAACUCAUGUAAAAAACAAACUUUUUCCUCAUACUUCAUAGGCAAGAUAUAAAGAAGUAUGGUUGUCAAAAAACAGAAAAUUUCCUUCCUCUUCUUUAAUGAAAACUGAAAAAAAUAGGAAGACUUGUUUUGUGAGAUUAUUAAACUGUAUACCCAUGGAAUCACAUUUUUUUUUUUUUAAAUGCUUCCUUUCCUAUUCACCAGAAAAGUAAGGUUGAUUUUUUGUAUUCUAGCUAAUUUGAAUGUCUGCUUAUGGGUUUUUUCUUCAUUCCCCUUCUAAAGAGAAACUUAUAAGGGUUUAACAUGUCUAGUGUACACUAAACAACGACAAAAUUAAGUCCUUACAUAAUUACUAUUUUUUAAGGAUUUAUUUUUGCCGAAUUGUGAUUCUGCCCACAGAUUUCCAGUUUCAUAGUAUAGACAAUGUGAAGUCAGAAGCAAGCAUUGGUGCUGCUUUUCUGGCAAUAGGCUAAAUGAAAAAAUAUUAUGUAGAAAUUAUGUAUGGAAAUAUUUGUUCAUUCAACAAAUAUUUGUUAUGUUUUUAUAAGUGACAGACACAGUAGACCCAAGAGCAAAACAGACAAAAAGGAAAAAAUCUUUGAUGUGUAACUUACAAACCAUUGAAGAGAAACAGAACAUGAAGAUAAAUAAAUUAAUAGUGUGUGUGUGUGUGUGUGUGUGU